UUUCCUGGUUGUGUGGAAACAUCUCUUACGUUUUUACAAGGUGUCAAACCUCAAACGAUCUAAAAAACGGGUUUUCUUCUAAAUUUUUAGUUCCCUUCUAAAAUCCAACACUCGUCUGCACCGCAAACUGUGACACAUAUUUCUAGUUCCUUUUCCUAUUCCGGCUUCGGCCAGAAAUUUUUAUUAGCUGUUAAUACUCGAACUUGGAUUGUCUUGGGGCUAUUACGCUCUACUUGUGCAUUAGGAGAGGUUGGGCGCACAGUUUUUAAUCGGUCAGACACACACACACACGAAGAAUAUCUCCGAAAAAGUACGACUUAUUAUGACGAACACCACCAUAUUGUAUAUGACAGCUGCCUUCUUGAUCUCAUGAGGAUUGUUUGAAAGGUGUUUGAUGUCUAGUCAAAGAGCUUACAACCUGCACGGAUACAGUUACAGUUCUACUGUGUUGCCCUAUAAUCAUCAGCCUUUGACGAGGGAAAGAAUGGCUGGUGGAGAUAUCUGGGUCCAGUGGUUCACAUGCUGUGUGACUCAACAACCUCCUCCACGGAGACGAAGACCACCAAUUGAUCGUUCCAUGAUCGGUUUGCCACAAAAUUUUCAACAUACUGCUCAUAUAGGCUCAAGUGACGUAGCCAUGGGUUCAAGGCAUUUAGUAGCCUUGCAAAAUCACAUGCAGAGCAAAGGAG